GGGUGUGUAGCUCAGUGGUAGAGUGGUUGCCUGGCAUGCAGGAGGCCCUUGGUUUAAUACCCAGUACUGCCU
rnacentral:tRNA from 1 species